CCCAGAUUAACACAGCCCAGAGCCCACCCACGGCACCCAGAUUAACACAGCCCCAGAGCCCACCCACAGCACCCAGAUUAACACAGCCCCGAGCCCGCCCACGGCACCCAGAUUAAUACAGCCCCAGAGCUCACCCACGGCACCCAGAUUAACACAGCCCCAGAGCCCACCCACGGCACCCAUAUUAACACAGCCCCAAGCCCACCCACGGCACCCAGAUUAACACAGCCAGGGAUGCCUCCACGCAGCCCAGAUUAGAAUUCUGAUUUGCUGAAGUAGGAAUCACACAGUGCCCCAGGAGCGUCAGUCUUACACUUCUUUUUCUCCCAGCUCUUUCCAGUUUAAUAUGGUUACAGUAAAUGUGUCCAGCUCAAAAAAACGUUUAAAGACCAGCCACGAUCUCUCUUCAGUGUGAAGGGAAAUAACAUUCUGGAUAUUAGUUGAACCUUUAUUUGGCAUCUCAAGACACAUUCAGGUGAAUUCUUUCUCGCUGCUCUAAAAUAGCAUUUCAAUGCUUUCUGCAAGAAGCCACAGGGCCCCUACUGUCCAGCUUCAAUAAAGCGAUUAUUCCAAAGGAACGGCUGCUCUUGGCUGAAAACUGCUCACAUGUGGUGCUCUUUCUUCCAGGCAGCUAUUUUUAACUCUGCUGUUUCCACAAGGUCACGGCAAUGAGAGUGUUGGAUGUGGCGCUGAGGUGGCCCAAGAACACAUUCUUCCUCUUGAAGUUAUUAGAUUCUUGGGGGUCCCUGGCAAGGAUUGGGAAACCUUUCAUUCACCAGGGAUUGAGCCUGGCUGUGCUGUUGAAAGAAACAUCAGUUGACCCUGUUAGCACAUCUGCGCUGCUGGAAGAGCCGAGGGUUAGAACGCAGCCGGGUCUACUGACGGCGCAGGCAGCAGCCGCUUCUGUUGGCCUCCUCUUCCUUCCCUUCGAGCUCACCGAUCUUCCAAGCUUCUCCUCAUCCUGCCAAACAGGGAAGCUGCACAGCCCUGCCCCAGUACAGACCCCAGAGACUGUCGAGGAGAAUGCAGAGGCUUCACCAAGCAUUGCCUCAGGACCCCUGAGCCCCGACACACAAGGUUUCCCAUUAUUUAUGGAAAUCGGGGGAUUCUGGCAUCUUUUCAGGCCACCUGAAGAACAUCUGGCAUUCGUUUAGGAAAACGGGUUCGUUAAAGGAAUGAUAAAAACACAGUCUGACCAAGAUCUUUGAUGAUGAUAUUCAACGUGUGAGGAAACGCUUUCCAGAACUGCCAUACGUGAACUCAAGAAUUUUGCCAGAAGUUUGAAUAAUGUUCCCAAGAACCUCUUAAAAGUUGCUGUCGUACGACU
rnacentral:lncRNA from 13 species